rnacentral:rRNA from 1 species
UACGUAGGGUGCAAGCGUUGUCCGGAAUUAUUGGGCGUAAAGAGCUCGUAGGCGGUCUGUCGCGUCGGCUGUGAAAACCCGAGGCUCAACCUCGGGCCUGCAGUCGAUACGGGCAAACUAGAGUACUGCAGGGGAGACUGGAAUUCCUGGUGUAGCGGUGAAAUGCGCAGAUAUCAGGAGGAACACCGGUGGCGAAGGCGGGUCUCUGGGCAGUAACUGACGCUGGAGGAGCGAAAAGCCGUGGGGAGCGAACAGG